rnacentral:rRNA from 1 species
GGCUCAGGAUGAACGCUAGCUACAGGCUUAACACAUGCAAGUCGAGGGGAAACGAUAUUGGAAGCUUGCUUCCGAUAGGCGUCGACCGGCGCACGGGUGAGUAACGCGUAUCCAACCUGCCCAUCACUUGGAAUAACCUUGCGAAAGUAAGACUAAUGCCCAAUGACAUUUAUAGAAGGCAUCUGAAAUGAAUUAAAGAUUUAUCGGUGAUGGAUGGGGAUGCGUCUGAUUAGCUUGUUGGCGGGGUAACGGCCCACCAAGGCGACGAUCAGUAGGGGUUCUGAGAGGAAGGUCCCCCACAUUGGAACUGAGACACGGUCCAAACUCCUACGGGAGGCAGCAGUGAGGAAUAUUGGUCAAUGGACGCAAGUCUGAACCAGCCAAGUAGCGUGCAGGAUGACGGCCCUAUGGGUUGUAAACUGCUUUUAUACGGGGAUAAAGUGAGCCACGUGUGGCUUAUUGCAGGUACCGUAUGAAUAAGGACCGGCUAAUUCCGUG